CAGCCGCCGCGGUAAUACGUAGGUGGCAAGCGUUGUCCGGAAUUAUUGGGCGUAAAGGGCUCGCAGGCGGUUUCUUAAGUCUGAUGUGAAAGCCCCCGGCUCAACCGGGGAGGGUCAUUGGAAACUGGGAAACUUGAGUGCAGAAGAGGAGAAUGGAAUUCCACGUGUAGCGGUGAAAUGCGUAGAGAUGUGGAGGAACACCAGUGGCGAAGGCGACUCUCUGGUCUGUAACUGACGCUGAGGAGCGAAAGCGUGGGGAGCGAACAGGAUUAGAUACCCCUGUAGUCCCUGUCUCUUAUAC
rnacentral:rRNA from 1 species